UUGUUCUGUAAUUUCUGAUUG
ensembl:piRNA 21ur-3809 ncRNA